CAGUGCGCUGUUACCUUUGGUCGGCACCCCGAGGGCGUUUCUGAGUCCCGAGAAGCACCGGUCCCAGGGGCUGGCCCGCUGCCCUCGGCUGCCCCCGGCUGCCCCCGCUGUUGCCCCUUAACCGCCCAGCACAGGGAACAUGACAGCCGCCCUGCAGGCGGCGCUGAAAGAACCCUCCCAUCAACACCAGGAGCCAGGCGGUGAAGGACCGGGCAGGCAGCAUCGUGCUGAAGGUGCUCAUCUCCUUCAAGGCCGGCGACAUAGAAAAGGCCGUGCAGUCCCUGGACAGGAACGGCGUGGACCUGCUCAUGAAGUACAUCUACAAGGGCUUCGAGAGCCCCUCCGACAACAGCAGCGCCGUGCUCCUGCAGUGGCACGAGAAGCUGAACUACAAUGCAGCAAUCCGGGGCCAGCGCUGCGGCACUCGGGUAAGUCCAGUCUGCGACACCAGCAUCCCAGCAUCCCGUACGGCGCCGGCUCGGGUCCGGCUGCUCCACUUCUGCUCCAGCUGCCUGCUAACGCCUGGGAAAGCAGCGGGGGAUGCCCGAGAGCUUGGGCCCCGCACCCGCGUGGGAGACCCGGAUGGAGCUCCAGGCUCCUGGCUUCGCCGGCCCAGCCCCAGCUGGUGCAGCCACUAGGGGGUGAGCCAGUGGAGAAAGUGCUCGCUCGCUCGCUCUCUCUCGCUCUCUCUCUGUAA
rnacentral:lncRNA from 1 species